rnacentral:lncRNA from 10 species
AUGUAGGCGUUCCGAGCGGCGGCGGAGGUGAGCGCACGGACGAGCGGGAGGGACCCUUCUCCGGCCUGAUGCGACCCGGAAAGGGAACAUCACAGAAAGGUGAAGAAAUUUGCCCUAAAUCAUAAAACUUUGUAAGUGGCAGAACAAGGAUUUGAAGCUGGCAGUCUGGUUCCAGAGAUGGGGUUUUACUAUGUUACCCAGGCUGGUCUUGAACUUCUGUUCUCAAGAGAUCCACACACCUCAGCCUCCCAAAGUGCUGGGAUUACAGGCGUGAGUCACUUCACCUGGCCCAUACUGGCUGCUUUCCACCAGCGAUGGAGCGUGGGGACAGUACUGCUGCAAGUGGAUCGUGGGACUCCUCCAUCAGGUGCAGUGUGAGGUCCUGGGGACACUUGCUGUGAGUACCCUCAGCCAGCUCAGAGUUCUACCGAAGAGACUGACAAGUACACCUGCAGUGACAACACCUCAGUGUCAGCGGAUACGGCAAAGCCCUUCUGAAAAACAAACAUCGGGCAAUGAUUGUGCAACACAGCUGCUAAAAAUCCUUCAUUUCUGGCUACUCCGGUCUCUGAGGGAAGCACCCUGCCCUGGGGAAAUUCUCACAUGGCCAGACACAGACCUGGCUGACCAGCUGCAGGCUGGUGCUGACAGUUCCAGCACACCUUGGCUUCCUCAAGAGAUCCAAAGGCAAAGUCUCCCCGGUAAUCUCUUGGAGUGGCCCUCAGAAGAACAGAUGAAAAGUCUGCCUGGUUUACUCUUGUUGGGAGCCUGAGAGUUCCCGUGGCAUUGUCCUUGGCUUUCCGGGACAUUUAAAGCAACGGUCAACUCGAGCUUGUCCACAUGGAGAGAAUGCCCCAUCUCCAUACGCCAAACAGCUGUCCCGGCCUCUUUCAUGAAUAGGUCUGACUGAUCCUGGGGACAAGAGAGCCAAGGACAGAGCUGGAGGCAGGAGGGCAGGAAUGUGUGGUGACCUGGUAGUUCUGAAACAGCAGAAAGUCCGGUGUCCCAGCGCAGUGACAAGGCCACAGAGGGGUUCCAGUGAAUCCCAGUGUAACCGCCCAAUGGGUUCACCUUGCUGGCUGCCUAGACAGAGCCGGUUUAUCAAGACAGGAGAACUGCAAUGGAGAAAGAGGAAUUCACGCAGAGCCAGCUGGGCGGGAGACCGGGAGUUUUAUUAUUACUGAAAAUCAUGCUCUGCCCUGCCCCGCACCCCAGGAGGUUGGUCCCAUGCUCCGGAUCACCCCGACUCCCUUCCCCUCUGGCUCCAAGCUGGAUUCAGCCCACAGGAGACACCAGCAGAAGAUGGAAGGCUGGGAGGAGAGGCUGGGAUCUGUCUCCUCCACUCUCUGCCUGUCUCAGGGCCUCCAGGACUGCAGCUUCCACUGGGCAGCCUCCCCUUGAUCCUAAGGGUGGUAACAGCUUCCUGCUAUUGCCAGCUGCUGGGUGCCUCAACAUCCUUUGUUGGUUUCCUUAAACUUGUCCACAUCUCUGUAAAUCAUCCUUUACUAAAUAGCCCUUCAUCUGAAGCAUCAGUAUGAAUGCCAUUCCUGCCAGGACUCUGACCAAUGCACAUGCAAUGCAGUGGAAUGCAGCCGAAAGGAGUGUUGACACCAGAUUCAAAUUUAGAAAGCAUUUGAAAGCAUGGUCUAAUAAUGUCUCCAUGGAAGAGGAAGAACAUGCUGACAAAGGAAGUGAAGAAGCUCCCCAGGACCUGGUGCACCCCAUGUCUCCUGCAGGGUGACCGCUGGCUGGCAAAGCCUGUCCCUGUGUUGUUAAGUCGGAUUCCCCAGAGGGAGAAGCAGACGGGCCAGCAGCUUGGGUCAGGUGCUGCCUGAGCCCCUGUUUUAUGAAAAACAAAUUGUUGAAAGGAGAGAAAGUGAAGAACAGUUGAAGAGAGGAAGAGCGGCAGAAACAGCUGCCACUGAGUAGGGAUUGGUUGUCACUUGGGUGCCAGGAUCUGCUGAUCAAUUAGCCAAACAUCCAACGUGAGAAAAAGGCCCAGCACACAUCUUUUUGCUUAACUGUCAUUAAAUGCUCCAUUUAACCCC